CUGGUAUCAUUGCAAGGUUCGAAACUCAAUAAUUACCCUAGCGCUUAAAGACACUCACCUCCCGCAAAAACAGCCUUGGGGUAGUCUUUUUGAGGUGUUGAGCGUCGGAUGGAGCAGGGACUGGAGAUGGUUUGUCACCC
rfam:Polynucleobacter paneuropaeus strain AP-Creno-20-G10 chromosome, complete genome